AAUAAAGUUGUUUAGCUUGUUCAGAUCUACAUUUUGGUAUGAUUUCAGUAAUUUUUGGGUUUGUGUUCUUGAGAAUGUUGCUUGAGUAGUGAUUAGGGUUCUUGAGGAUGGACUAGAUUAGGGUAAUCUCUAAGUUAGUUAGGUGGUUAGUGUUUAGGUUUGAACCUUUCUGGAUUCGCUUGGCCCCUAUGCGAUUUUCGCUGGCUAAUGUGGAGAUUCGAUCAUAGACGUCCGGCGUCCAAAAGACGUUCAAAUGGAUGUCUGAUCUACGAAUUCCAGAGAUUUGUAGACUCGACCAAGACAUUGGCUUGACUGCUUAUUGGCUUUUGUAA
rnacentral:sRNA from 1 species